AGCCUGCUGCUGAGAGCCUGGUAGACAUGCUGCAGUGUGAGUUCUGUGGGAAGAGAGGCUACGUUCACACCUUCCUCCGAUCCAAACGAUUCUGCUCCAUGACCUGUCAGGUUCAAUGUGAGCUGUACUAAGCAUCUGAGCAAGUUGAAGGUGGACAAGGCCAGUCAUUGGAGCCACAGGCCGAUGGGCAGGAGAGGACGACCCCUGGGAAGGAUCAACGGGGGCUCCAGAGAACACUUCCUCCUUAGACAGGUAGGAGGGACAUAUCCAACGAGUUACGUUCCCAGGAGAUUGACGGCCAGGCCCUCCUAUUGCUGACAGAGAACCACUUGAUGACAGUUAUGAAUAUCAAAACUAGGCCCCGCCCUCAGAAUCUGUGCCCACAUCAACUCUCUGAGGGAACCAUGAGCACAGGAAAUGAGCAUCUCAAAUGGCACCCUAUUCCCUAUAUAGUACACUACUGUUGACCAGGGCUCUAUCUGGUCAAAAGUAGUGCACUAUAUAGGAGAUAGGGUGCCAUUUGGUAUGCGAAUGAGAGGAACACCCUUUUUGGACUUUAAAGACAUUGGAUUCCAGGAGGAUUUGAGACACACACACUGGCUCUCCACCUUUCAACUCAGUGAGAAGCAGCUAAUAAACUGUUUUUCAUCAGUGUAUCACCAUAGUGAUUGUAGCAAUACGGCAUUUUCUGUGUAUUACAUUGAAAGCACUGUACAUGAUGUUUAAAACGUAAUUAUAUUGAAAUGUUUUGCCAAAAUGUUGAUAGUCUUUGAAGGCUGUUUACCAAGCCUGAGACAAGUUGGUAUUUUACAACGACAAAGAUUGACUGAAGUUGCACCAAGAACACCCGUGGCAUAGCAACCAGGAAGUGCCUUGUGAAUUCCAUGAUUGAUGAGACAUUAGACAAGCAACAUAUUUUUUUGUACUUAUAAAUACA